GGGUUGUGAGGUUAAGCGACUAAGCGUACACGGUGGAUGCCCUGGCAGUCAGAGGCGAUGAAGGACGUGCUAAUCUGCGAUAAGCGCCGGUAAGGUGAUAUGAACCGUUAUAACCGGCGAUUUCCGAAUGGGGAAACCCAGUGUGAUUCGUCACACUAUCAUUAACUGAAUCCAUAGGUUAAUGAGGCGAACCGGGGGAACUGAAACAUCUAAGUACCCCGAGGAAAAGAAAUCAACCGAGAUUCCCCCAGUAGCGGCGAGCGAACGGGGAGGAGCCCAGAGCCUGAAUCAGCAUGUGUGUUAGUGGAAGCGUCUGGAAAGGUGCGCGAUACAGGGUGACAGCCCCGUACACAAAAGCGCAUGUGCUGUGAGCUCGAUGAGUAGGGCGGGACACGUGGUAUCCUGUCUGAAUAUGGGGGGACCAUCCUCCAAGGCUAAAUACUCCUGACUGACCGAUAGUGAACCAGUACCGUGAGGGAAAGGCGAAAAGAACCCCGGCGAGGGGAGUGAAAAAGAACCUGAAACCGUGUACGUACAAGCAGUGGGAGCACAGGUUUACCUGUGUGACUGCGUACCUUUUGUAUAAUGGGUCAGCGACUUAUAUUCUGUAGCAAGGUUAACCGAAUAGGGGAGCCGGAGGGAAACCGAGUCUUAAUUGGGCGUUAAGUUGCAGGGUAUAGACCCGAAACCCGGUGAUCUAGCCAUGGGCAGGUUGAAGGUUGGGUAACACUAACUGGAGGACCGAACCGACUAAUGUUGAAAAAUUAGCGGAUGACCUGUGGCUGGGGGUGAAAGGCCAAUCAAACCGGGAGAUAGCUGGUUCUCCCCGAAAGCUAUUUAGGUAGCGCCUCGUGAAUUCAUCUCCGGGGGUAGAGCACUGUUUCGGCUAGGGGGCCAUCCCGGCUUACCAACCCGAUGCAAACUGCGAAUACCGGAGAAUGUUAUCACGGGAGACACACGGCGGGUGCUAACGUCCGUCGUGAAGAGGGAAACAACCCAGACCGCCAGCUAAGGUCCCAAAGUCAUGGUUAAGUGGGAAACGAUGUGGGAAGGCCCAGACAGCCAGGAUGUUGGCUUAGAAGCAGCCAUCAUUUAAAGAAAGCGUAAUAGCUCACUGGUCGAGUCGGCCUGCGCGGAAGAUGUAACGGGGCUAAACCAUGCACCGAAGCUGCGGCAGCGAACGUAUCACCCAAGACAACUUUACGGAGUUGACGAUUGACGGAGCGAAGCGACGUCAAAGCGUUCAUUAAAGUCGAGUUGGCUUAGGGAUACGUUCGUUGGGUAGGGGAGCGUUCUGUAAGCCUGUGAAGGUGUGUCGUGAGGCAUGCUGGAGGUAUCAGAAGUGCGAAUGCUGACAUAAGUAACGAUAAAGCGGGUGAAAAGCCCGCUCGCCGGAAGACCAAGGGUUCCUGUCCAACGUUAAUCGGGGCAGGGUGAGUCGACCCCUAAGGCGAGGCCGAAAGGCGUAGUCGAUGGGAAACGGGUUAAUAUUCCCGUACUUGGUGUUACUGCGAAGGGGGGACGGAGAAGGCUAUGUUGGCCGGGCGACGGUUGUCCCGGUUUAAGCGUGUAGGUGUGUGUUCCAGGUAAAUCCGGUUCACUUUAACACUGAGGCGUGACGACGAGGCACUACGGUGCUGAAGCAACAAAUGCCCUGCUUCCAGGAAAAGCCUCUAAGCAUCAGGUAACACGAAAUCGUACCCCAAACCGACACAGGUGGUCAGGUAGAGAAUACCAAGGCGCUUGAGAGAACUCGGGUGAAGGAACUAGGCAAAAUGGUGCCGUAACUUCGGGAGAAGGCACGCUGACACGUAGGUGAAGUGAUUUACUCAUGGAGCUGAAGUCAGUCGAAGAUACCAGCUGGCUGCAACUGUUUAUUAAAAACACAGCACUGUGCAAACACGAAAGUGGACGUAUACGGUGUGACGCCUGCCCGGUGCCGGAAGGUUAAUUGAUGGGGUCAGCGCAAGCGAAGCUCCUGAUCGAAGCCCCGGUAAACGGCGGCCGUAACUAUAACGGUCCUAAGGUAGCGAAAUUCCUUGUCGGGUAAGUUCCGACCUGCACGAAUGGCGUAAUGAUGGCCAGGCUGUCUCCACCCGAGACUCAGUGAAAUUGAACUCGCUGUGAAGAUGCAGUGUACCCGCGGCAAGACGGAAAGACCCCGUGAACCUUUACUAUAGCUUGACACUGAACAUUGAGCCUUGAUGUGUAGGAUAGGUGGGAGGCUUUGAAGUGUGGACGCCAGUCUGCAUGGAGCCGACCUUGAAAUACCACCCUUUAAUGUUUGAUGUUCUAACGUGGACCCGUAAUCCGGGUUGCGGACAGUGUCUGGUGGGUAGUUUGACUGGGGCGGUCUCCUCCUAAAGAGUAACGGAGGAGCACGAAGGUUGGCUAAUCCUGGUCGGACAUCAGGAGGUUAGUGCAAUGGCAUAAGCCAGCUUGACUGCGAGCGUGACGGCGCGAGCAGGUGCGAAAGCAGGUCAUAGUGAUCCGGUGGUUCUGAAUGGAAGGGCCAUCGCUCAACGGAUAAAAGGUACUCCGGGGAUAACAGGCUGAUACCGCCCAAGAGUUCAUAUCGACGGCGGUGUUUGGCACCUCGAUGUCGGCUCAUCACAUCCUGGGGCUGAAGUAGGUCCCAAGGGUAUGGCUGUUCGCCAUUUAAAGUGGUACGCGAGCUGGGUUUAGAACGUCGUGAGACAGUUCGGUCCCUAUCUGCCGUGGGCGCUGGAGAACUGAGGGGGGCUGCUCCUAGUACGAGAGGACCGGAGUGGACGCAUCACUGGUGUUCGGGUUGUCAUGCCAAUGGCACUGCCCGGUAGCUAAAUGCGGAAGAGAUAAGUGCUGAAAGCAUCUAAGCACGAAACUUGCCCCGAGAUGAGUUCUCCCUGAGACUUAGAGUCUCCUGAAGGAACGUUGAAGACGACGACGUUGAUAGGCCGGGUGUGUAAGCGCAGCGAUGCGUUGAGCUAACCGGUACUAAUGAACCGUGAGGCUUAACCUUACAACGCCGAAG
rnacentral:rRNA from 2 species